AAUAAUAAAUUUAUUAAUUUUAUAUUUUUAUAUUAAAAUUUAAUAAAAAUAAUUUUUUUGUUUUUGUAUAUUUUAUAGAUAAAAUAAUUUUUAUAAUAGUUUAUUUGUAUUGAGAAAGAAUAUUGAAAUAUAUUGAAAAUUUUAUUUUAUAAAAGUAAAAUUUAUUUUUUGUACCUUUUGUAUCAGGGUUUAUUAAAUAAAGUUUAUUUAUAAAUAAAUUUCUCGAAUUUAAAAGAUCUAAUAUUUUAAUAAAUUUAUUGUAAUAUAAAUAUUUUAAAUAUAAUAUUAGUAAUGAAAUGUUUUUCGUUUUUAAAUUUAUCUAGUUAUUUAAGAAAUAAAUUUAAUUUAUAUAUUAAUUUUAUAUUAUUUUUAUUUAUGAAUUUAUUAUAAUUUAAUAUAAAUAAUGUAAGGGAUAAGCUUUAUAUUAAUUUUUAUAAUUUAAAUUUUUAGGAAAUAAUUUAUAAGCUUAGAAAUAGUUAUUAUUAAAAAAAAUGUUUUAAUUUAUUAAUAAUAAAAUUUUAUUUUUUAAAUUAUAAAUUUAAAUUUUUUAUUAAAUUAUUUAUUUAAAUAAUUUUAAAUAAAUUAAUAAUGAUAAAAUUAGUAAAUUAUAUUGUUAAAUAUAUUUUAUUUAUUAAGAUUAAUAAAAGGAAUUCGGCAAUAAUUAAUGCUCGCCUGUUUAACAAAAACAUGUCUUUUUGAAUAUAAUAUAAAGUCUAACCUGCCCACUGAUUUUAAAUUGAAGGGCCGCAGUAUUUUGACUGUGCAAAGGUAGCAUAAUCAUUAGUUUUUUAAUUGAGGACUUGUAUGAAUGGUUGGACGAGGUAUUAACUGUCUCUAUUUAAUAAAUAAUUAAAUUUGAUUUUUAAAUUAAAAAGUUUAAAUUUGAUUAAAAGACGAGAAGACCCUAUAGAUCUUUAUAUUUUAAAUAUUGAAAAAUUAUUAGAAUUAUAAUAUUUAUUAAUAUUUAAAUUAUUUUAUUGGGGUGAUAUAAAAAUUUAUAAAACUUUUUAUUUUUAAAGUCAUUAAUUUAUGAAAAAAUGAUCCAAUUUUAUUGAUUAAAAGAUUAAGUUACCUUAGGGAUAACAGCGUAAUUUUAUUGGAGAGUUCAUAUCGAUAAUAAAGAUUGCGACCUCGAUGUUGAAUUAAGAGUAAUUUUAGGUGUAGAAGUUUAAAAUUUUAGUCUGUUCGACUAUUAAAUUCUUACAUGAUUUGAGUUCAAAUCGGCGUAAGCCAGAUUGGUUUCUAUCUUUAAUUAUUUAAUAUAUUUUAGUACGAAAGGACCAAAUAUAUAAAUUAUAUUUUAUAAAAUGAAUUUUAUUAAUAUA
rnacentral:rRNA from 1 species